CCGAUUUGAAAAGGGUUCUCGAGACUCUCUUCCGGAGAGCGCUCGCCCUUCUUUCACGAUUCAAACACCCCGUGCACUCUCGAGGGAACCUCACCGUUCUCUCGCUUUGAAAAACGCCCUUUCUGUAGAACGCGUGUCGGAUUUAUUGAUAAUGAAAUA
rnacentral:misc_RNA from 1 species